GACGAACGCUGGCGGCGUGCUUAACACAUGCAAGUCGAACGGAAAGGCCCUGCUUUUGUGGGGUGCUCGAGUGGCGAACGGGUGAGUAACACGUGAGUAACCUGGCCUUGACUUUGGGAUAACUUCAGGAAACUGGGGCUAAUACCGGAUAGGAGCUCCUGCUGCAUGGUGGGGGUUGGAAAGUUUCGGCGGUUGGGGAUGGACUCGCGGCUUAUCAGCUUGUUGGUGGGGUAGUGGCUUACCAAGGCAUUGACGGGUAGCCGGCCUGAGAGGGUGACCGGCCACAUUGGGACUGAGAUACGGCCCAGACUCCUACGGGAGGCAGCAGUGGGGAAUAUUGCAAAAUGGGCGGAAGCCUGAUGCAGCAACGCCGCGUGCGGGAUGACGGCCUUCGGGUUGUAAACCGCUUUCGCCUGUGACGAAGCGUGAGUGACGGUAAUGGGUAAAGAAGCACCGGCUAACUACGUG
rnacentral:rRNA from 1 species